rnacentral:rRNA from 1 species
AACGAUACAGUGGCAGACGGGUGAGUAACGCGUGGGAACGUACCUUUCACUACGGAAUAGCUCUGGGAAACUGGUGGUAAUACCGUAUACGCCCUCCGGGGGAAAGAUUUAUCGGUGAAAGAUCGGCCCGCGUUGGAUUAGCUAGUUGGUGAGGUAAUGGCUCACCAAGGCGACGAUCCAUAGCUGGUCUGAGAGGAUGAUCAGCCACAUUGGGACUGAGACACGGCCCAAACUCCUACGGGAGGCAGCAGUAGGGAAUCUUGCACAAUGGGCGAAAGCCUGAUGCAGCCAUGCCGCGUGAAUGAUGAAGGCCUUAGGGUUGUAAAAUUCUUUCGUCAGGGAUGAUAAUGACCGUACCUGAAGAAGAAGCCCCGGCUAACUUCGUGCCAGCAGCCGCGGUAAUACGAAGGGGGCUAGCGUUGUUCGGAAUUACUGGGCGUAAAGCGCACGUAGGCGGAUUUUUAAGUCAGGUGUGAAAUCCCGGGGCUCAACCUCGGAACUGCAUUUGAAACUGGAAGUCUUGAGACCAGGAGAGGUUAGCGGAAUACCGAGUGUAGAGGUGAAAUUCGUAGAUAUUCGGUGGAACACCAGUGGCGAAGGCGGCUAACUGGACUGGUACU